rnacentral:lncRNA from 1 species
AUUCCAGGAAGAUAUCACGAAGAAGAAUGUACCAGUGACUCAGAGGCAUCUGAAUGGUUCAAACAUCAAACAAUGAUCCCAAUGAUUGCAAAGACCAGUCCUGGAAUCUGUCAUAUCUGACAUCAAAACAUAAAGCUUCAAUGCCAAAUUGGAGACUCUUUCAGGUUAAUGUAACUGAGCAGCCCUCCCAGAGUAUUGCCAAUGGAAAUGAAGUCUAGUUUCAUCAAAUGUAAGUAAGGGAUUAGAUGAAGGAACCCUGGAAGCAGGAACAGGACUUCUCUUCAGAGGUAAAGAUGGUGAGAGCUGAGACAGCACAGAUUCUUGGAACAAGCAGCCACCAGGGUGAAUUAGGGGAAGGUCUAUCAGUCAAUCUCCAUCUCAGAGAUGGUGGAGUCACAUGACCUGUGAUCACCACAGAACAACCAUAUCCUCUAAUGUAAACUGUUAGAUGGAAAUCAGGCUCAUGAGUUCUCAUCACAUUUGCAUCAGCCUUCCUCUGCCCUAGGGAAAAAUACAAACAACUCUGUUUAAAAUCUAAGUGUCUGAGUAGAACCUCCACACAUUCACAGAGUUCUAGAUUAUACCCGGUGGUCUAGAUAGUCUGAAUGACGUUGGCUCUGAAAUGACUGUGAGAUCAGUCUAGAGUCGGGAGAAGGGAAUUAAGAGAAAGGGCAGAGAAGGAAGAAGAGAGGGGUGAAUGGAAAGGAAAAGAAUGUGGUAUAUGAAGUAACUUGAAAUUCUGACCUUCAGUCUGUUUGGAGACCCACGUGUUUAUGCAUUGCCUGGACUCCACUGCAGCUUUGAAAAAGUUGACCUGCUCCAUCUCUGAAUCAUAGAAGCGAAAACAGGACUCCUUAAAGGUCUUUGGAAAGAAAAUUUUGAGGAAGGUGACAUUAAAAAAUAAUAUUUAAACAAGCUUCAUAACCUUCUGUAAAGUAUGGCUUUAAGAAAACCAAACUAAAAUAAGUGUAGAUAUCACCUUAAACAACAAACAUUAUCAUGCAAUGGGCCUUUGCAAGUGGGAAUACUCAUACAUGGAUUAAUAAAAGUUACAAGUAGUUAAAUAAGAAAUAUUUCAAGGUAUGAUUAUAGAAUUGUGUUUUUUGGGCUGUUGGGGAAGGUCAUUUAAAUGAAUCUCACAAUGUAGCCUAGGCUGGCCUCGAACUUGUGGCCCUCGUAUCUCAGCCUUCUCAUUACAGGUAUUAUAGCUGUGUACCCACAUACUGAGUAGAAGUUAAUGUAUAGUUUCCUCCCAUUUUCUAGGUUCCUUUUCCCAGGUUAUAUAGUAACAACUACUUUGAGUUCAAUUGCUAUUAUUCUUCUAAUACAACUUACUUGGAGGACUUCACAAGUUUUGUCUGCAAAGAGCCUGUUGGCCACUAUAAGGGAGUAUUUUCUGUCUGGCUUGUUCAGCUUCCUGAGAAGCUUCAGGAAUCCCUGAUGGAUGCCUUUCUCUUUCUUCAAACCAAGUGCCUGAGUAGGAAAAGAUGAAACAUUAGCUCAGUGAUGAACCAUUUUGUUUCUAAAGGAAUUGUCGAGGUAACUGGAUGGCUCUGAGAGUAAAGUAUCUGAGGAUCUGAGGUAUAGUCUCACUACACACAGAAGAUGGGCCCAGUGAUGCAUGGAGGUCAUCCCAGCACUGGCAGGAACAGGGUCUGGAAAUCCUGCCUCUAUAUCUUCAUCCAGAGAUUUGCUUCUGCCAUCUUUAUUUAGUCAAAGAAAUUAUUAUGGAACCUCUACCUUCAUGUCACCUUUUAUGUGCAAAAAAAAAAGCAACAAUAAGAAUAACGACAAAAUUAAAAACAACAAAC